rnacentral:rRNA from 1 species
GCCCUAGUAACGGCGAGUGAAGCGGCAACAGCUCAAAUUUGAAAUCUGGCGCAAGCCCGAGUUGUAAUUUGUAGAGGAUGCUUCUAGGUAGCGACCGGUCUAAGUUCCUUGGAACAGGACGUCAUAGAGGGUGAGAAUCCCGUAUGUGACCGGCCCGCACCUUCUACGUAGCUCCUUCGACGAGUCGAGUUGUUUGGGAAUGCAGCUCUAAAUGGGAGGUAAAUUUCUUCUAAAGCUAAAUACCGGCCAGAGACCGAUAGCGCACAAGUAGAGUGAUCGAAAGAUGAAAAGCACUUUGGAAAGAGAGUUAAAAAGCACGUGAAAUUGUUGAAAGGGAAGCGCUCACAACCAGACUUCUGGGCGGUGUUCCGCCGGUCUUCUGACCGGUCUACUCACCGUCCCGAGGCCAACAUCAUCUGGGACCGCCGGAUAAGACCUUAGGAAUGUAGCUCCCCUCGGGGAGUGUUAUAGCCUGUGGUGAUGCGGCGCGUCUCGGGUGAGGUCCGCGCUUCGGCAAGGAUGUUGGCGUAAUGGUUGUCAGCGGCCCGUCUUGAAACACGGACCAAGGAGUCUAACAUCUAUGCGAGUGUUCGGGUGUCAAACCCCUACGCGUAAUGAAAGUGAACGGAGGUGGGAAGGGUAACCUGCACCAUCGACCGAUCCUGAUGUCCUCGGAUGGAUUUGAGUAAGAGCAUAGCUGUUGGGACCCGAAAGAUGGUGAACUAUGCCUGAAUAGGGUGAAGCCAGAGGAAACUCUGGUGGAGGCUCGCAGCGGUUCUGACGUGCAAAUCGAUCGUCAAAUUUGG